CUCCCUUCUGGGUGAAGGCAUUCAUUUCUUUUCAUAUUUGUUUUUAUUGAGAUAACGGCUUAUUACAUUAUACAAGUUUUAUGGGUACAACAUUACAUUUCUACUUCUAUAUACCCCACAGAAUUGCCUUUUCCUAUCUGUAUCACAAACGAUCCCCAGCUAGCACUUGGGUGUGUGGAAGAGAAGGAAGGCAAAACACUUGUCUUUCUGGGCCUUCUUUCCUAAUCUGCUCCCUCAGGGUUAGGGUUGUCCAGGUCUCUGAUUCACUGCGUUUCUCAUUCUACACAUCGCUAGCAUUAUCUUACUCGUUGUCAUGAUCUUACCACUCCACACCUCACAAAGUAGCUUUAGCUAUAUUAAAUCAAUCAAAUCAAUUACUCAUAGUAUCCCCAAAGUGCCAUCUUUGUUCACAGGGUCUCUGUCUUCCUAGAAAACAUUAGAUCUCCUCAUCAACCAGCCUACAUCCUUCUGCAACUUCAGCCUACACAACGUCCUCUCUCUGGCUGUUUCCUACCUCUUUCAAGAUGUGUAUCAGUCAUCAUCAUGUUCUCAGGAAGCCUUCUAUCAGGAACCAUGACUUUUGUUUUUGUAUCCUCUGAGCUCAGUACUGGAGAAGGCAAUGGCACCCCACUCUUGCUUGGAAAUGGAUGGAGGAGCCUGGUGGGCUGCAGUCCAUGGGGUCGCUAAGAGUCNNNNNNNNNNNNNNNNNNNNNNNNNNNNNNNNNNNNNNNNNNNNNNNNNNNNNNNNNNNNNNNNNNNNNNNNNNNNNNNNNNNNNNNNNNNNNNNNNNNNNNNNNNNNNNGGUGGGCUGCCAUCUAUGGGGUUGCACAGAGUCAGACACGACUGAAGUGAACUAGCAGCAGCAGAGCUCAAUACUGAGCACAAAAAUGGAAUUUAUUCCAUUGUGCAGAUAUUUAUUAAUAACGUUUUUAUUAAGUAUAUUCAGUAUGUGCUGGGCACUGUGCUAAACUCCUAUCAGAUAUGUUCUAUUAGUAUGCCCAACUGAAAGAUGAAGAAACUGAUUCUUAGAUUGAAUUUUUCCAGGUCCACAAAAGUAGUGUGUUGAGACAGAUUUUAAAUGCAUGUUUGUCCAACUGCAAGCUCACACCCACUAUCACUAGUUACCUCUUACAGUAUAAACAUACAUAAUGUAACAAUACAAGGCUAAAAUAAACAAGUAAUAUAUUCAAAAUGAUCUGAAAAUUUACUUAAAUUACCUUUAAUCUUAAUCCAUCUGAAUUUUUUACCAAUAAAAUAUUUUAAUCAAACUUCAUUAUUGCUUGUAUUCAUCACUAAAUUGGUAAGGUUUGUCUCAGAAAAAGGGUUUCUCUGGCUCAGAUGGUAUAGAAUUUGCCUGCAAUGCAGAUCAGGGUUUGAUCCCUGGGUCGGGAAGACCCACUGAGAAGAGAAUGGCUACCCACUCCAGUAUUCUUAUUUGGAGAAUCCCAUGGACAGAGGAGACUGGCGGGCUACAGUCGCAAAGAGUCAGAUGCAACUGAAGUGAUUUAGCUUGCACACACACAUUCCAUCUUCUAAUCUAUUCAUGUCCUCUGACCUCCUACUGAGAACCUGGGGCCUCAGGGACCUCCCUAGAGUAGGGUGGUUGUUGCGAGUUUCCAUGGAACAAUGUCACCUGGUCUCUUUCAAAUCUCUUGUCCCCACACUAGGCAGAAUAAUGAUGUCUUCUAAGGAGAAAUUGGCUCACAUCCAUAAAUAUCAAGGGAGGGAAAUGUUUCUCAUCCUCAUCUAUAAGUAACACAUUUAUAUUUUCAUAACAGUAGCAAAUCAAUUAUUUGCAGCAUUUAGAAGAGAUGCUUUUCCCAUUUACUAGGAAAAGUUAGUUACAAACUUGUUUCAGAUAAAUACAGGGAAAUGUGUAAAUAUCUUCAUUCCUUUGUUUAAAGAACAAGACAUAGAUAACUAAUAUUUUUAAGUUUCGAAAACAAAAUUGCAACUCUUCUCUAAACUCUGUUUUUGAAAGGUUUUAACUUAAAUGGAUUAUUGCUGAAUAAAACUAUCCAGGAAACUUCUUUGCAUUUUUCCCCCUUAGGACUGAGUAUGUUGGUAAGCCAAACAAAAUAUGUACAGUUUUCUAUCUCUGGCUUGAUUAAUAGGUAACAUUUCACUAUCUGAUUUUUUUUUUCUCUCCACCGUGCAUUUAGUUUAUUCAUCUCACUUAUACAAUCUGGGUUUUAAACUUUCCUCUUUUCUCUUUAAUAUCAUGGGACUUUGGAGGUCAAACUGAAAAGACCAUUUUGAUUACUUUUGUAUAAAAACCUAAAGAAUACUAAAAUAGAAUCUGACUGAAACGGAGCAGGACUCUAUGAUCCUUAACCACCACCCCGCCCCACCACCAUGUCUUCUGUCUGCCUUUUGCCUGUGGAAGACUUUAGUCAAAGAGAAGUGAGAAAUGCUGAAAUAAAGAAAGAUAGUCAAAGGAGACCAAAUCAUAAUAAUGUAGUCAUUAAGCACAGUCAAGGCCCUUUAGCUCUUUCUCGAGGGCUAUAGAUAAUAUUCUGAGCCAUAUCCUGUGAGCUGUCUUAUAGACACCAAAACACCAGGUGAAGUUAACUCCAUGAUGACCAGGCUGUACUCAGAUAUGAGCUGCCACAAUUUCAAGAAUUGACCGCAAAGACAUGGGAACAAAUGGACCCUGAAACUGAAGACUAACUGUAUCUAAAACAAUCAAGAUGAUGCUGGUCAGACCACUGAUGAUCAAUUUGAAGAUGACUAUCAGAGCUGACUGUGCCAAGAACUGACUCAUUUGAAAAGACCCAGAUGCUGGGAAAGAUUGAAAGCAGGAGGAGAAGGGGAUGACAGAGGAUG
ensembl:lncRNA